rnacentral:siRNA from 1 species
UCCAUCAGUUAUGGAGAUCGCAGU